GCACUCGCCUCAGCAGCACACAUACUAAAAUUGGAACGAUACAGAGAAGAUUAGCGCAGCCAAAAAGAAAAUUCUUAUCAUAAGAAUUUACUAACUUUA
rnacentral:snRNA from 1 species